rnacentral:rRNA from 1 species
CCUACGGGAGGCAGCAGUGAGGAAUAUUGGUCAAUGGACGAGAGUCUGAACCAGCCAAGUAGCGUGAAGGAUGACUGCCCUAUGGGUUGUAAACUUCUUUUAUAAAGGAAUAAAACGAGGCACGUGUGCCUUUUUGCAUGUACUUUAUGAAUAAGGAUCGGCUAACUCCGUGCCAGCAGCCGCGGUAAUACGGAGGAUCCGAGCGUUAUCCGGAUUUAUUGGGUUUAAAGGGAGCGUAGAUGGGGUGUUAAGUCAGUUGUGAAAGGUUGCGGCUCAACCGUAAAAUUGCAAUUGAUACUGGCAGUCUUGAGUACAGUUGAGGUAGGCGGAAUUCGUGGUGUAGCGGUGAAAUGCUUAGAUAUCACGAAGAACCCCGAUUGCGAAGGCAGCUUACUAAACUGUGACUGACAUUGAUGCUCGAAAGUGGGGGUAUCAAACAGGAUUAGAUACCCGGGUAGUC